ACAUAGGGUGCAAGCGUUGUCCGGAAUUAUUGGGCGUAAAGAGCUCGUAGGUGGUUUGAUACGUCGGGUGUGAAAUUCAGGGGCUCAACCCCUGACCUGCAUUCGAUACGGUCAAGCUAGAGUUUGGUAGGGGAGACUGGAAUUCCUGGUGUAGCGGUGGAAUGCGCAGAUAUCAGGAGGAACACCAAUGGCGAAGGCAGGUCUCUGGGCCAAUACUGACACUGAGGAGCGAAAGUCUGGGGAGCGAACAGGAUUAGAUACCCUGGUAGUCCAGACCGUAAACGGUGGGCACUAGUUGUGGGAACCUUCCACGGUUUCUGCGACGCAGCUAACGCAUUAAGUGCCCCGCCUGGGGAGUACGAUCGCAAGAUUA
rnacentral:rRNA from 1 species